UUUUGGAGAGUGUGAGAAGCUUUCAAAACAUAUAAAUUUACAUCCUUUCAUAACCUUUUGAGGGGUUUCCUGUCAGGUUCUCUCUAUUUGUGAUUCUCUCCUUUUGACAACCAAGAUGGUAGGAAGAUUCUAGUGAAUGGAAGAAGCAUUCCUAAGAAAACAAAUUUACAACUUUUUUUCCAUCCCUUUGAAGGCAAUUUCUGUCAGUUUUUGGCUAAAAAAGAGGGAAAGGAGAAAUUAAAGUUUUGGUCUAGGAGCUUUAUAACGUGAAAAGAUGAAAACAUAGAAAGGGGAAGGAAAAGGAAAAGGAGAAAAGAAGUAGCGAUAGCAUAGGUUGGAUCGAUCCUUCGCAUGCUGCCUGUGGCAAUUCAAUUUUCAAUCUCUCCAGCUCUUUUUUCUGUCCUUUUUAACCCCUAUUUGGUUGGUUUUAUGAAGAAGAAAGAUAAAUGUCCUCCAAAAAGCUGCUUACCUGGUAUUUUUUAAUUAAGCUUUGGUUUCUAACUCAGUUAUUUCUUUUUUGGAUCUUUAACAACUUGACCAUGAAGUAAGUUUUGAUGGGUUUUUGUUUUUGUUUUGGUUUUUUUUCUUUUUUGGCCUUGGUUUUGAUCUGGGUUCUUUUUAUUGAUUUAUUUAGAUAGAUGGUUUUGUGAUUUAUUGCCCUUUUUAUUGAUUAGAAAAUUGCAGACUUUCUUUGAAACUUAUCUGUUUGCUUGACCAAACUUUUUCUGGAAAUUAGGUGAAGUCUGAGGUUUGUAUUAACCCCUAUUUGGUAAAUUUUUUGAAGAAGAAAGAUAAAUGUCUUCCAAAAAGCUGCUUCCCUAGUAUUUUUUUAAUUAACCUUUGGCUUCUAACUCAGUUAUGUCUUUUUUGGAUCUCUAACAACCUGAUCUUGAAGUGAGUUUUGAUUGGUUUUUCCUUUCCUUUUUUUCUUUUUUUUCUUUGUUGGCCUUGGUUUUGAUCUGGAUCAUUUUUAUUGAUUUAUUUAGAUAGAUGAUUCUGUGAUUUCAAAGUUGCCCUUUUAUUGAUUAGAAAAUUGCAUACCUUGUUUGAAGCUUAUCUGUUUGCUUGAUUAAAUUUUUUCAGGAAAUUAGGUGAAAUUUGAAGUUUAUAUAUAUUUUUUUAGGGUUAAAACUUGCACCCUUUUUAGGUUAUGGAUUGAAUACAUAAAAAUACAGUGCAGAAUGAAAAUGAUUAACGUGGUAUAAUGUUUAAUCAUCACCAGUUUUAAGUGGUUUCAAGUAUGGUUAAUCAAUCUUAUCUGUGUUACACAAGAUAUUUCAACAAAUCUAAAUUUGCUUUCAACAAGAACUAUUUUCCUAUGAAUGUGUAGGGCAUUCAACGGGUUAGCAUAAUGAAGGCACUAAGUUGUACAGAUUUUAACGUAACAACAGUACCUAAAUCAGUUUUCGACCAAGAGUAGAAGCAGGUAGGAACGAAGAGAUAAAGUGAGGGAGAACAGAGAAACAAAAUCACCGAUGGACAGCAAAAACGAUAGCAGUUCUGUUUUUAUGUUUUUAAUAUAUUGUAUAAUAAGAUCUAGAAUCUAUUUUAUACAAUUUUGAUCUUAUGUAUUUUUCUUGAUAAAAAUUUAGCUAGAUUCUUAAAAUUUUUGAAGGUGAUUCUAAUUGAUCUUGAAACAAGAAAUUUGAUAGUCGGUUAGUUAAGAAGAUGGUGGGAAAGCAGCCAUGCCUUUGUGUAAAAUACAAAAGACUCUAACACUAAUCCGUCAGAGGACACAAGGCUCAAGAGGAUAGAGUUUUGAUCCAUCAUGCGCUACUCAAAAUGUUUAUGGAAUAAGGGCUAAGAAUGUUGCCUUAUCUGCUCUCACAGGAAUUAAUAGUUAGAUUUUAUUUUGUAUUCCCUUUUCAUUUUCUUUUCUCGAUAGAGGAAAGUGUGAAAAUGGUGUUAACAAUUUCUUCAUUGUAUAGCAACAAUUUGGUCCAGCUAAGGAUAGUUAUGCUGAAUUAUGUGUAGAGAAACAUACUAUCACAAGAUAGAGCUUUGAGCGAGGUAUUGCUGCCUAACAAGGUGGAGCUUUUGCAUGGGAAAUGGUUCCAAUUAGACAUACUCUUAAUAUUAAGGUUUCAAGGGGAAAGGGAAAGUCAUCCACCAUAGUUGACAAUGAUGAAGGUUUAGGAAAGUUUGAUGCUGCAAAAUUAAAGAAGAUGCGACCAAGUUUCAAGGAGAGUGGCACCCUUACUGCUGGCAAUGCUUCUAGCAUAAGGUCAAUUACUUAACAUCUUUAUUCACUUACAUACAUAGGCCAGACUUUUGAUUAUGUCAACCCAUCGUCAGAAUGGGAAUGCUUAAAAGUAAAAGGCUCACCUGUUGACUGAAUUCUUCAAUAAAUCAAUUUGGUUGUCCUAUAUUGGUAGCUUAUAUUUCACUUUGAUGAAUUUCUAUAAGCCUCUUAUUGAGGGUUGUGCAAUCAUGCAAUUGCCUAUUUGGUCAAAUACUACUUUUCAUGGGUUCAAAGUUAAGGCAUGAUUUCCAAUUUAACCUAAUAAUUCUUUUAAGGACAUGAUCUGGAGUUUGUCAUUGAAGUUAAGUUGAUCUUAUUCGCAGUGAUGGUUUUUUUAUUUUUUAGCAUGCACCUUGGAUCUUGAAAUAAUGUAACAUUUGAUCAUAUUAAAAGCUUAUGUUGUUACAAAAAGCCAAAUUUGUUGCAUCUAUUCUCCAUAUUUUGUCGCCGUAGGAUUGUUUUAAGAAUUAGAUACGAUUGUGACUUUAGUGCAUUGCUUUGUUGC